UCCUAUCGCUGCUGCCCUGCUGAGCACUGCAGGAAAACUGGGGAUGCGAGACAAAUUCUGAAACAACACCUACUCCUUUCCCUGGAUUAUUAAUUCUCGUCUUGUUUUCGGUGCCGCGGCCGCGCUGGCGAUUUGGGCCAUCGCCCGACGCCCGGCCCUGCCCGGGGAGAGGGUGACAGGGGGAAACCCCCGGCAGGAACCGGGGAGGGAUGCUCGGGGUCCCCUCCGCGCACGCACCGGGCCCAUCGCCCCUGAAAGCUUUUUUGUCGCUAUUAACCCUGGCCCAUCGCCUCCUCCAGGUGCGGCGGGGGUGGAGCUGACUCCGGCCCGAGGUGCUGCUUCUCCCGCGGGGUGGUGGACUUUGCUGCUGAAGUUAUGCACAUGCUGCACGGGAGAUUUGCAACUACAGGCUGAGAAGACGACCAAACACUGAAAACGGUGGUGAUUGCAUUUGAACAACCAAGAAAUCAAAUGUUCCAGCCAGAGGAAGGAUCCAGCCUGUUGGUGUUGUGACUCUGGGGCAGCCCAGGCACAGCACCUGCACCCCAGCCACCAGCCUGGGGCAGCCAGGGCGUGGGGCGGCACCGGCAUGGCCAGGGACAGGCACCGGCAAGAGAAGUCGGACACGAGGUCCCAUCUGCUUCAGCUGCCACUUCUUGUGCCCAGCACAGGACUCCACAGCACGGGCUCUGUCCUUGCACUGCUGUGAUGACCAUCAGUCGUGGUGGUGCAGCCCCUGGUGAGCCCCCGGGCCUCUCAACGACUCCGAGGUGUGUGAGGAGCAACAGUACGGCUACCAGGGAGUAAGAACCGUGUAAAAGACUUUGUCACCAUUUGAUGUAGAGGUCCUCAUUAAUUACCCUGGGAGGGGAGGUCAGGAUGCAGCCAGCUCUCUGCUGUCACCUGCAGAAUGGCACGUGGGUGCCUGUUCGUAAUGUGGAGGGGCAGAGGCUCCCGCCUCUUGUUCCCUGUUGCUACUGCAACCUCGAGGUUCUGUGGGAAAACCUAUUCUAAAAUUGCUCAUAAAUGGGUUUUCUAGCUGUUACAUUAAGCUGGAUUAGGCAGCACACAGCAUUGAUUUUUAGAUGUGAGAGUGUUGAAUAAUUUAUGUGCAUGUUGCCUCCUAAACCAGAGCCUGGCUUUGUGACAGUUCUGGCCCCUCCCAGAGCAGACACAGACGACUGUGGUAGGAUACAGCCAAACUUCCAACUCUCUUACUUUUUAGUAUCUGCUUUAAAAAGCAUUUGUAACAUCAUUUUGUUGCUGGGGUUUUAUUUUAAAGUGUCCAGGAGUGUUAUCCCACUGCAAGCACAAAGCAUGAUUUUUAGAGUUGCUGUUCCUUAAAACCUGCUUUUGCUAUCAUUCAAUUUUAAUAUGGCCAUGUAUUAUGAUAUCCAAUUGUUUGAUACAAGCAUGAGCACAUAGAAACAGCAAAAGGAAAAUUGUCUUUUUACGAACCAUGCAGCUGUUUAUCAUAAAUCUGAAUAAAACCCCUUUUCAGACCUUUUA